rnacentral:tmRNA from 1 species
GGGGCUGCAAUGGUUUCGACGGGGAUUUUGAACCUUAAGGAGCGAGUAGUGGCGGGAACCACUUAAAAAUCCUAAACUUUAAAUUUAAACGCUAACAAUAAUUUAGCUUACGCUGCCUAAUUAACGGCAGCCAUCCUUGUUUUGUAUUACCGCGUAUGAAAUAAAGGGUGUCAUCUUUAGCGGUGCACAUGAGUGUGUAAAGCUUUGAACACACCAGGUAUAAUGAAGCUACUGAUUUAUGCAGAUUGUUUGUGAACUGUAUAAUAAGGGAAUGUUGAUCACAAACUGCACUCGGAGUGCCUUUUGCGGAUAGGUUUUCGGACAGGAGUUCGAUUCUCCUCAGCUCCACCA